UUAUCAUUAACUGAAUCCAUAGGUUAAUGAGGCGAACCGGGGGAACUGAAACAUCUAAGUACCCCGAGGAAAAGAAAUCAACCGAGAUUCCCCCAGUAGCGGCGAGCGAACGGGGAGGAGCCCAGAGCCUGAAUCAGUGUGUGUGUUAGUGGAAGCGUCUGGAAAGGCGCGCGAUACAGGGUGACAGCCCCGUACACAAAAAUACACAUAUUGUGAGCUCGAUGAGUAGGGCGGGACACGUGGUAUCCUGUCUGAAUAUGGGGGGACCAUCCUCCAAGGCUAAAUACUCCUGACUGACCGAUAGUGAACCAGUACCGUGAGGGAAAGGCGAAAAGAACCCCGGCGAGGGGAGUGAAAAAGAACCUGAAACCGUGUACGUACAAGCAGUGGGAGCACGCUUAGGCGUGUGACUGCGUACCUUUUGUAUAAUGGGUCAGCGACUUAUAUUCUGUAGCAAGGUUAACCGAAUAGGGGAGCCGAAGGGAAACCGAGUCUUAACUGGGCGUUAAGUUGCAGGGUAUAGACCCGAAACCCGGUGAUCUAGCCAUGGGCAGGUUGAAGGUUGGGUAACACUAACUGGAGGACCGAACCGACUAAUGUUGAAAAAUUAGCGGAUGACUUGUGGCUGGGGGUGAAAGGCCAAUCAAACCGGGAGAUAGCUGGUUCUCCCCGAAAGCUAUUUAGGUAGCGCCUCGUGAAUUCAUCUCCGGGGGUAGAGCACUGUUUCGGCAAGGGGGUCAUCCCGACUUACCAACCCGAUGCAAACUGCGAAUACCGGAGAAUGUUAUCACGGGAGACACACGGCGGGUGCUAACGUCCGUCGUGAAGAGGGAAACAACCCAGACCGCCAGCUAAGGUCCCAAAGUCAUGGUUAAGUGGGAAACGAUGUGGGAAGGCCCAGACAGCCAGGAUGUUGGCUUAGAAGCAGCCAUCAUUUAAAGAAAGCGUAAUAGCUCACUGGUCGAGUCGGCCUGCGCGGAAGAUGUAACGGGGCUAAACCAUGCACCGAAGCUGCGGCAGCGACGCUUAUGCGUUGUUGGGUAGGGGAGCGUUCUGUAAGCCUGCGAAGGUGUGCUGUGAGGCAUGCUGGAGGUAUCAGAAGUGCGAAUGCUGACAUAAGUAACGAUAAAGCGGGUGAAAAGCCCGCUCGCCGGAAGACCAAGGGUUCCUGUCCAACGUUAAUCGGGGCAGGGUGAGUCGACCCCUAAGGCGAGGCCGAAAGGCGUAGUCGAUGGGAAACAGGUUAAUAUUCCUGUACUUGGUGUUACUGCGAAGGGGGGACGGAGAAGGCUAUGUUGGCCGGGCGACGGUUGUCCCGGUUUAAGCGUGUAGGCUGGUUUUCCAGGCAAAUCCGGAAAAUCAAGGCUGAGGCGUGAUGACGAGGCACUACGGUGCUGAAGCAACAAAUGCCCUGCUUCCAGGAAAAGCCUCUAAGCAUCAGGUAACAUCAAAUCGUACCCCAAACCGACACAGGUGGUCAGGUAGAGAAUACCAAGGCGCUUGAGAGAACUCGGGUGAAGGAACUAGGCAAAAUGGUGCCGUAACUUCGGGAGAAGGCACGCUGAUAUGUAGGUGAAGUCCCUUGCGGAUGGAGCUGAAAUCAGUCGAAGAUACCAGCUGGCUGCAACUGUUUAUUAAAAACACAGCACUGUGCAAACACGAAAGUGGACGUAUACGGUGUGACGCCUGCCCGGUGCCGGAAGGUUAAUUGAUGGGGUCAGCGCAAGCGAAGCUCUUGAUCGAAGCCCCGGUAAACGGCGGCCGUAACUAUAACGGUCCUAAGGUAGCGAAAUUCCUUGUCGGGUAAGUUCCGACCUGCACGAAUGGCGUAAUGAUGGCCAGGCUGUCUCCACCCGAGACUCAGUGAAAUUGAACUCGCUGUGAAGAUGCAGUGUACCCGCGGCAAGACGGAAAGACCCCGUGAACCUUUACUAUAGCUUGACACUGAACAUUGAGCCUUGAUGUGUAGGAUAGGUGGGAGGCUUUGAAGUGUGGACGCCAGUCUGCAUGGAGCCGGCCUUGAAAUACCACCCUUUAAUGUUUGAUGUUCUAACGUGGACCCGUGAUCCGGGUUGCGGACAGUGUCUGGUGGGUAGUUUGACUGGGGCGGUCUCCUCCUAAAGAGUAACGGAGGAGCACGAAGGUUGGCUAAUCCUGGUCGGACAUCAGGAGGUUAGUGCAAUGGCAUAAGCCAGCUUGACUGCGAGCGUGACGGCGCGAGCAGGUGCGAAAGCAGGUCAUAGUGAUCCGGUGGUUCUGAAUGGAAGGGCCAUCGCUCAACGGAUAAAAGGUACUCCGGGGAUAACAGGCUGAUACCGCCCAAGAGUUCAUAUCGACGGCGGUGUUUGGCACCUCGAUGUCGGCUCAUCACAUCCUGGGGCUGAAGUAGGUCCCAAGGGUAUGGCUGUUCGCCAUUUAAAGUGGUACGCGAGCUGGGUUUAGAACGUCGUGAGACAGUUCGGUCCCUAUCUGCCGUGGGCGCUGGAGAACUGAGGGGGGCUGCUCCUAGUACGAGAGGACCGGAGUGGACGCAUCACUGGUGUUCGGGUUGUCAUGCCAAUGGCACUGCCCGGUAGCUAAAUGCGGAAGAGAUAAGUGCUGAAAGCAUCUAAGCACGAAACUUGCCCCGAGAUGAGUUCUCCCUGACCCUUUAAGGGUCCUGAAGGAACGUUGAAGACGACGACGUUGAUAGGCCGGGUGUGUAAGCGCAGCGAUGCGUUGAGCUAACCGGUACUAAUGAACCGUGAGGCUUAACCUUACAACGCCGAAG
rnacentral:rRNA from 1 species